GGUGAGUAAUGUCUGGGAAACUGCCUGAUGGAGGGGGAUAACUACUGGAAACGGUAGCUAAUACCGCAUAAUGUCGCAAGACCAAAGAGGGGGACCUUCGGGCCUCUUGCCAUCGGAUGUGCCCAGAUGGGAUUAGCUUGUUGGUGGGGUAACGGCUCACCAAGGCGACGAUCCCUAGCUGGUCUGAGAGGAUGACCAGCCACACUGGAACUGAGACACGGUCCAGACUCCUACGGGAGGCAGCAGUGGGGAAUAUUGCACAAUGGGCGCAAGCCUGAUGCAGCCAUGCCGCGUGUAUGAAGAAGGCCUUCGGGUUGUAAAGUACUUUCAGCGGGGAGGAAGGGAGUAAAGUUAAUACCUUUGCUCAUUGACGUUACCCGCAGAAGAAGCACCGGCUAACUCCGUGCCAGCAGCCGCGGUAAUACGGAGGGUGCAAGCGUUAAUCGGAAUUACUGGGCGUAAAGCGCACGCAGGCGGUUUGUUAAGUCAGAUGUGAAAUCCCCGGGCUCAACCUGGGAACUGCAUCUGAUACUGGCAAGCUUGAGUCUCGUAGAGGGGGGUAGAAUUCCAGGUGUAGCGGUGAAAUGCGUAGAGAUCUGGAGGAAUACCGGUGGCGAAGGCGGCCCCCUGGACGAAGACUGACGCUCAGGUGCGAAAGCGUGGGGAGCAAACAGGAUUAGAUACCCUGGUAGUCCACGCCGUAAACGAUGUCGACUUGGAGGUUGUGCCCUUGAGGCGUGGCUUCCGGAGCUAACGCGUUAAGUCGACCGCCUGGGGAGUACGGCCGCAAGGUUAAAACUCAAAUGAAUUGACGGGGGCCCGCACAAGCGGUGGAGCAUGUGGUUUAAUUCGAUGCAACGCGAAGAACCUUACCUGGUCUUGACAUCCACGGAAGUUUUCAGAGAUGAGAAUGUGCCUUCGGGAACCGUGAGACAGGUGCUGCAUGGCUGUCGUCAGCUCGUGUUGUGAAAUGUUGGGUUAAGUCCCGCAACGAGCGCAACCCUUAUCCUUUGUUGCCAGCGGUCCGGCCGGGAACUCAAAGGAGACUGCCAGUGAUAAACUGGAGGAAGGUGGGGACGACGUCAAGUCAUCAUGGCCCUUACGACCAGGGCUACACACGUGCUACAAUGGCGCAUACAAAGAGAAGCGACCUCGCGAGAGCAAGCGGACCUCAUAAAGUGCGUCGUAGUCCGGAUUGGAGUCUGCAACUCGACUCCAUGAAGUCGGAAUCGCUAGUAAUCGUGGAUCAGAAUGCCACGGUGAAUACGUUCCCGGGCCUUGUACACACCGCCCGUCACACCAUGGGAGUGGGUUGCAAAAGAAGUAGGUAGCUUAACCUUCGGGAGGGCGCUUACCACUUUGUGAUUCAUGACUGGGGUGAAGUCGUAACAAGGUAACCGUAGGGGAACCUGCGGUUGGAUCACCUCCUUACCUUAAAGAAGC
rnacentral:rRNA from 1 species